rnacentral:rRNA from 1 species
CCUACGGGGGGCAGCAGUGGGGAAUAUUGGACAAUGGGGGGAACCCUGAUCCAGCCAUGCCGCGUGUGUGAAGAAGGCCCUCGGGUUGUAAAGCACUUUCAGUGAGGAAGAACGCCUGGUGGUUAAUACCCAUCAGGAAAGACAUCACUCACAGAAGAAGCACCGGCUAACUCCGUGCCAGCAGCCGCGGUAAUACGGAGGGUGCGAGCGUUAAUCGGAAUUACUGGGCGUAAAGCGCGCGUAGGUGGCUUGAUAAGCCGGUUGUGAAAGCCCCGGGCUCAACCUGGGAACGGCAUCCGGAACUGUCAAGCUAGAGUGCAGGGGAGGAAGGUAGAAUUCCCGGUGUAGCGGGGAAAUGCGUAGAGAUCGGGAGGAAUACCAGUGGCGAAGGCGGCCUUCUGGACUGACACUGACACUGAGGUGCGAAGGCGUGGGUAGCAAACAGGAUUAGAUACCCGUGUAGUC